CAGUCGCCGCGGUAAUACGGAGGGGGCUAGCGUUGUUCGGAAUUACUGGGCGUAAAGCGCACGUAGGCGGCUUGGUAAGUUAGAGGUGAAAGCCCGGAGCUCAACUCCGGAAUUGCCUUUAAGACUGCCGAGCUAGCAGGUGAGAGAGGUAAGUGGAAUUCCGAGUGUAGAGGUGAAAUUCGUAGAUAUUCGGAAGAACACCAGUGGCGAAGGCGGCUUACUGGCUCAUACUGGACGCUGAGGUGCGAAAGCGUGGGGAGCAAACAGGAUUAGAUACCCGAGUAGUCCCUGUCUCUUAUAC
rnacentral:rRNA from 1 species